GGGUCUGUGGCGCAGUUGGUAGCGCGUCUCGUUCGCAAUGAGAAGGUCGGGGGUUCGAUUCCCCCCAGAUCCA
rnacentral:tRNA from 1 species